rnacentral:rRNA from 1 species
GACGAACGCUGGCGGCGUGCUUAACACAUGCAAGUCGAACGGAAAGGCCCUGCUUUUGUGGGGUGCUCGAGUGGCGAACGGGUGAGUAACACGUGAGUAACCUGCCCUUGACUUUGGGAUAACUUCAGGAAACUGGGGCUAAUACCGGAUAGGAGCUCCUGCUGCAUGGUGGGGGUUGGAAAGUUUCGGCGGUUGGGGAUGGACUCGCGGCUUAUCAGCUUGUUGGUGGGGUAGUGGCUUACCAAGGCUUUGACGGGUAGCCGGCCUGAGAGGGUGACCGGCCACAUUGGGACUGAGAUACGGCCAAGACUCCUACGGGAGGCAGCAGUGGGGAAUAUUGCACAAUGGGCGGAAGCCUGAUGCAGCAACGCCGCGUGCGGGAUGACGGCCUUCGGGUUGUAAACCGCUUUCGCCUGUGACGAAGCGUGAGUGACGGUAAUGGGUAAAGAAGCACGGGCUAACUACGUG